rnacentral:rRNA from 1 species
AUUGAACGCUGGCGGCAGGCCUAACACAUGCAAGUCGAACGAGUGGCGGACGGGUGAGUAAUGUAUGGGAAUCUGCCCGAUGGCGGGGGAUAACUACUGGAAACGGUAGCUAAUACCGCAUACCAUCGGAUGUGCCCAUAUGGGAUUAGCUAGUAGGUGGGGUAACGGCUCACCUAGGCGACGAUCCCUAGCUGGUCUGAGAGGAUGACCAGCCACACUGGAACUGAGACACGGCCCAGACUCCUACGGGAGGCAGCAGUGGGGAAUAUUGCACAAUGGGCGCAAGCCUGAUGCAGCCAUGCCGCGUGUAUGAAGAAGGCCUUCGGGUUGUAAAGUACUUUCAGCCAGGAGGCGUUACUGGCAGAAGAAGCACCGGCUAACUCCGUGCCAGCAGCCGCGGUAAUUC